CCAAAAGCGUAAACAAGGGGAAAGCGUUGGUUAGCCUAUAGGAAAACACAACUGUCUGUCAGAACUCAGAAACGUUUUGCAAAGAACUCAUUCGAUUAAAAUGGUACGAGAAAAGCAAACUGCUCGCAAAUCGACCCGUGCUGCUGGCCAACUUACUGCCCUUGCCGCACAGAAGAAAAUCAAAGGAAGGCACUCCCAACGUAUCGCCAAUCAAAGUGGCUUGAAAACUGAACUUUUGAAGAAGAAGAAGCAUCUACAUCACUAUCGUCCUGGUGCCCUGGCUCUCAAGGAGAUUCGUCGCUACCAAAACUCGACCAAUCUUCUCAUCCCGAGAGUUCGUUUCCAACGACUUGUUCGCGAAAUCUCGAAGGACUUCAAACUGAACUUGAGAUUCCAGAGUGGAGCCAUUGGCACCUUGCAGGAGGCCAGCGAGGCAUUUUUGGUGGGCCUAUUUGAAGACACCAAUCUGUGUGCUCUUCAUGCCAGUCGUGUCACCAUCAUGCCCAAGGAUAUUCAGCUAGCACGUCGGAUACGAGGAUAGAAAUUCAAAAGCUUGUCCAACUUUAAAUUCAAGAAAACUAUUAAAGAAAAACAGAACAUCCCCAGCACAUUUUAUUAACCAAGAAGUAAAUUCAUCCUAUUUUGUAUUAUAUAAUUUUAAGUCCCAUUUUUGUAUAUCAAUGGCAGCACAUUUCUAUCAUUAGAAAGCACUGUUUGGCUAUUUAAUACCAGACAAAACUUGUAUUUUGUUGAACUUGUUCCUCAAAUUUGUAUGCGACUAAAACAAAUGAAUUGAGCAAUCCAAUGUUUGGGCAGUCAAUAAAUAAGUUCAGUAAAAUAAUAUGUAGUCACAAUCUAAUCUGAAUUAUAACUAACAUUUAUAAUAAUUCAUUUUCUUCUUUUCUCAAACAUUCUUGCCUUGCACUCAUCAGAGUGUAUUAUUAAAUCACAAAAACAUGUUGAAGCGUCCACAAAAACCUCAUACCCAAACCCAUAUGAUAUUCAAUCCCCCAACUCCUGUUUGUCAAUUAAUAAUUAAGUUUGAUAAUUUUUUCUCAUAUAUAACGUAUUUAACGAUGGUUUCUCCACGUUGGCUGCGUCGUCUUUGACCGUUUAUAGUAUUGCCACCUUCACGUUACAUAUAUCACCGUCAACAUAUUAGAUUGAAAAAAGUGUUGUAGAUGUCGUGACUGCUGACGACGUCAAAAUUUUCUAAUCAAAUCACUUAUUUAUAAUAAGUAGUUCAGUCAUUCCCUUUCUUUAGUGUUGCCGGAGCUCUUGAACCGCACAUAUUCACACCAAAUUGUUUUUUUCUUUCUUAUCUCGUGAACUCGACUGAUGCAGAUAUAACAGCCGGUCGACAAGAAAUUUAAUAUUUCAUGGUUCAAUGGACAAAUUGGACAUUUAUCGAGAUAGUGGUUCUGAUAUCGUUUGAUUUUUCAAAAAUUUAUUGCGUCAUUCUCUUCCCUCCUUCUGUUGGCCGAACGCCGAACUACACAUUGAACUAGUUCUAGUCAUCAUAAGUUAAGUUUCUUUUUCAGCGCUCCUUAAACAGCUAUCAAACGAAACUAAAUGGCCGAGGAAACUGAGAAUGAACGAAGGCAACCACCAGCAGGAUGUACGGACAGUACGCUGAACAAAAUCAAACCGAGUGAUCGAGCAAACUUCAAUAUUGCUCAAAACACGAGAAAAGUAAUAAAAACGGCGAAAAUGAUUCGACAAAAUUUAGUAGCAUUUCACAUGGCACUUUUGAAAGUGAGACGCUGAAGGUCUUUAUCCGAAAAUUUGAAAGAUCAAGGAUGAGGGAUGGAGAUCUUGAAGUCAUUCGGGAUCUCGCGGCUCUUCGACAGCGACCGAAUUUGCACGGAAAUUUCAUCCGCUACUUCGCAAUGGAAGAAGACAGAGACUUUAUUUACGUCAUCACAAAGUGGUGCAUUUGUUCCGUGGAAGAUCUGUACGGUACCAGAAGUAAUGAGGGAACCAAUUGGAUUGGAGAACAGAUUUUUGUGGAAAAAAUCAAGAAAUCACUAGGACCAAAACAGAUCUUAUGGCAAGCCACAAAAGGACUGGAAUAUCUGCACCAUUUGAAAUAUGUCCACCGAAACCUGAAGCCGAGUAACUUUUUGAUCGCUAAAAUUAGCGACAUGGAUCAGCCCGACGAGUACAAGGUGAAGCUGUCAGAUUUCUCUUAUAGUAAACAACCAAAGGAGAGUCCAAUAGUUUCUGGCCCGAGAGGAUCGAACGGAUGGAUCGCUCCCAUUUCGGAAACGGGAACAAUAAAAGCGCCAGAGGAUUAUGUUGCAGAUGACGUGUUUGUCCUCGGAAGUUUUUUUCACUACGUUUUGACCAACGGACUUCAUCCUUUCGGUAUUUAACAACUCGCAAAGAAUCAACAGUAAUUCUGAUCCGGUGUAUUGUGCUGCGUGGAAUCCGAGGUUGAAUCCAUCUCUGCCAAAUCAAAACGAACAAGCAGACCUUCUUUUGAAAUUUGAAGCAAAUGAUCAAGUUCGUUCCCAAGGAAAGGUGCAGCCUCAUCCAAGUCUUGGAUUCCCAUUAUUUUCUGCCGGAUAAUUAUUACCAUGAUUAUUAAAAACUUUACGACAUAACCGACGGAGUCAAACCGGGACUCUCCGUCAUCUUUAACCAAGAAAUUUUUGAUGAUUCAAGAAGCAAUCGAGACGGAACUGAACGUGAUCAAACAAAAUUGACAGGGGUAUUCAAGGCUUUGGGAUUUGACGUGGAAAUUUUCGAAAACUUGAAGAAGAAAGAUCUUUUAUAUUAUAUUGAAGGUUUAAGAUCACGGGAUUUCUCCACAUACGCCAGUCUCAUUGUUUGCAUUCUCUCCCAUGGAGAUGAGAAUGUCGUGGAAGGAACCGAUGGAAAAAGUUUGAAUAUCAACGAACUUAAAUAUAAGUUCAACAGUAACGAUUGUCCUUCAUUGAACGGAAAUCCAAAAUUUGGAUCAUACAAGCUUGCCAGGGCACUGAAAAUCAACCACCUUUUAGACAGUCUUCUGACAGAAGGUCCGAAUCGCGAUCGAAUUUUAAUACCGACGGUAAUCACCCAUCAGGACAGAUUUUAAGAUUUCAGAUUAGCUACGAGCCAAAAAUAACCUUUGAAAGAACAUCCACAACAAAGACAGAGGGAAAUGGAUCAGCACAAGAGAAUUUGAACAAUCGAGCGCCUUUUAUGGAUUUCCUUGACAUCAGAGCCUCUAUUCCUGGUUUCCAUGCUUACCGAUCUGAAGAUGGAUCUAUUCUGAUUCAAUGCCUUUGCGAGGAAAUGGGGAAGGAAUAUUUAAGCGGGAAAACGUCGCCGAAUAAAGAAUCCAAGGACUUAGAAGCAUCCUCAAUAGCGUGCAAGAUAUAAUAUGUAAUAAAACCAUGGCUUUAUCCGAGACUUUGUAACGAAUUUGUAAAACAAACUUUUGUGAGAAAUGUUUCUCUUAAUGGCCGGAUGAAAUUUAAAAAGGGCCAUUCACCGGGAAAAGUCACUUUACGACAAAAUGAAAGCUUUUUUUUUUGGUUAUGCAGAUUUAUAUUCUUCGUGACGGCUUCUCUACAUCGUUGCUUUUACCAGAGUUGAGACGAAGUAUACGACAGAGAAAUCCAUCAAUACCAUACGCCAAACUUUUUGAUUUACUUACUACUAUUUGGUGGGAUUACGUUGCCCGCAUUGUCUCGCUUCUUUUACCAAUAACUAUAUUUUAUCUGUUUAUAACCGUAUGCCCUAAUUCAAUUUCUUUUAUUAAUUUUUUUCGUUUUAUUUCACUUCAGUUUAAUUGUAAAUAAUUUAAAAAAUGUGUGCGCUUUACUCGAUGAUAGAUGGCUCGAGAAAAUAAAUUCCUUAGC
rnacentral:lncRNA from 1 species